rnacentral:rRNA from 2 species
AAACAUGUCUUUUUGAAAAUAAUUUAAAGUCUAAUCUGCCCACUGAUNAAAUUAUUAAAGGGCUGCAGUAUUUUGACUGUACAAAGGUAGCAUAAUCAUUAGUCUCUUAAUUGGUGACUUGUAUGAAAGAUUGGAUGAGAUAUAUACUGUCUCUAUUUAAUUUAUAAAAUUUAAUUUUUUAGUAAAAAAGCUAAAAUUAUUUUAAAAGACGAGAAGACCCUAUAGAGUUUUAUAAUUUAUUUAAUUAUUAUUAAUAUGUAAAUUUUAAAAUUAAAAUUAAAUAAAUUAUUUUGUUGGGGUGAUAGAAAAAUUAAAUUAACUUUUUUUUUAUUGUAUACAUUAAUUUAUGAGUAAAUGAUCCAUUAAUAAUGAUUAAAAGAAAAAAUUUCCUUAGGGAUAACAGCGUAAUUUUUUUUUUUAGUUCAAAUAGGAAAAAGAGUUUGCGACCUCGAUGUUGGAUUAAGAUAAAAUUUAAAUGCAAAAGUUAAAA